CGAAAGCCUGACGGAGCAACGCCGCGUGAGGGAGGAAGGCUCUUGGGUUGUAAACCUCUUUUGUUAGGGAAGAAGAAAGUGACGGUACCUAACGAAUCAGCAUCGGCUAACUCCGUGCCAGCAGCCGCGGUAAUACGGAGGAUGCAAGCGUUAUCCGGAAUUAUUGGGCGUAAAGCGUCCGCAGGUGGAAUUUCAAGUCGGCGGUCAAAGACCGAAGCUUAACUUCGGGAAGGCAGUGGAAACUGAAAAACUAGAGACCAGUAGGGGUAGCGGGAAUUCCCAGUGUAGCGGUGAAAUGCGUAGAGAUUGGGAAGAACAUCGGUGGCGAAAGCGCGCUACUGGGCUGGGACUGACACUGAGGGACGAAAGCUAGGGGAGCGAAAGGGAUUAGAUACCCCUGUAGUCCUAGCCGUAAACGAUGGAGACUAGGCGUAGCUUGUAUCGACCCAAGCUGUGCCGAAGCUAACGCGUUAAGUCUCCCGCCUGGGGAGUACGCACGCAAGUGUGAAACUCAAAGGAAUUGACGGGGGCCCGCACAAGCGGUGGAGUAUGUGGUUUAAUUCGAUGCAACGCGAAGAACCUUACCAGGGCUUGACAUCUGUAGAACCCCGAUGAAAGUUGGGGGUGCCUUAGGGAGCUACAAGACAGGUGGUGCAUGGCUGUCGUCAGCUCGUGUCGUGAGAUGUUGGGUUAAGUCCCGCAACGAGCGCAACCCUCGUCCUUAGUUGCCAGCAUUGAGUUGGGCACUCUAGGGAGACUGCCGGUGACAAACCGGAGGAAGGUGGGGAUGACGUCAAGUCAGCAUGCCCCUUACGCCCUGGGCGACACACGUACUACAAUGGUCGGGACAAAGGGCAGCGAACCCGCGAGGGAAAGCGAAUCUCAGCAAACCCGGCCUCAGUUCAGAUUGCUCUGUGCAACUCGAGAGCAUGAAGGAGGAAUCGCUAGUAAUCGCCGGUCAGCAUACGGCGGUGAAUUCGUUCCCGGGCCUUGUACACACCGCCCGUCACACCAUGGAAGCUGGCCACACCCGAAGUCGUUACCCUAACCCUUUAUGGGAGGGGGAUGCCGAAGGCAGGGCUAGUGACUGGGGUGAAGUCGUAACAAGGUAGCCGUACCGGAAGGUGUGGCUGGAUCACCUCCUU
rnacentral:rRNA from 1 species